GUAGCUUUCAAAGUCAAAGACCUAGCAGAUCAUAAGAGUCAGAAUUCACAUCUGGGUGUGGAUGACUCCAAAGCUCAUUCUGUUUUCCACUACUCUAUGCCACCUCUCCAUUUAGCCAGGGAUGUUUAUCAGUCAGGGUCUUAUCGGGAGACAGAAACCAGACCCCUUAUUUUAAGCUGCUCACUAGGUAACUGAAAGAGUAUAAAGAGAGCUCUUAAGGUGUCAAGAAGAUAACAACUGCAGGAAGCAGCUACUACCCCUAAGGCUGAGGAAGUAAAAAGGGAGAAGCUGCAAUGAUGAAAACUUAGAAUGUAGAGGGUGGGCCCUAUGGAGCUGGAGCUUGGGCCUCUGAAGAGUGGAUGCCGCUUGCUAGUGCUGAUGUCUCUGAGCUCAAAGGAGUCUGAGGCUCAGACUCUGAGAAGCCUGGUGUCCACAUUUUGGAGGGCAGUGCAACCAAGCUGGUUCUGAAGUGUUUGGGAGAACUGUCACCUGGAUUCUUCCACUGCAAUGGGAAGGAACUGCCACUGCCAGAGUGAAGAAGCGGUGUUGGGUGACACUCACAGGACUAGGACGCGGACAGGAAAGAGAGGAUAAGGUGAGAUUCCUUCACAAAUGGUGGCUCCAACUGGAAUUCAUUGUCCCAAAUUCUGAGAACUCCUGAGGAAAGAUCCAAAAGUAAUAUGGCUCAAGAUUUUUGAACUGCCCAGGCUCUACUCAGGCUCUUGGACAUCUUGCCCAUCUCAAAGGUGUCUGUUCCCCAGCCCUGUCUUUGACUGGUCUCAUUGCUGGGUGGCAUCUUUAACAGAGAGUGUGCAAGAGCCAUUGGCAGCAAUCUCCUGUGUGGUUGGAGCCUAGCAGUUUACAAGGAGCUUCCCUACACAUUGUAUCACAAUGACCUUGCCAGGUCUCUCCUGCCUACUGCCGGCCCUACCCACAAGAUGUGAACUUCAGAGCCUUCUUGCAACUGCUUCUUGGCUAUUUUCACCCUCUAACCCUCUGGAAGAAGAAUGAGGACUAUUAUGAAGGCAAAAGCAUAAAAGGGGAAAAGAUUAGCCUCCAGAGUAGGAAGAUUGGGUUGUUGGAAGCCAGCACAAGUCUUCCCCUGAAAGAGUUAAUUCGCCUCCAAUGGGGGUAGGGACUGACCUGGGAGGGGCCUCAGCCUACAUAGGACAGGCCUAAAGGCCCCAUUGGGGCUGAAGGUGACACUGGGUCAGAUCCCUAGGAUUCUGCAACUUGAGGUGGGAGUGUCUAUAAGCUGGAAACAAAAGUUUCAAAAAAAAAAAAAAAGCUCAUUUUGUUUUCAAUUCGUUUUAUCUUGGCUCUAUCUCAGGCACCACUGACUUCAGACCUUUCAAAGCUAAGGGUGGGGUAGGGUGGGGCUUAGUGAUUUUUUUUCUUAAAGAGAGAGAACAGGGAAUGUGCCUUGAACAUGCACAAUUUGCUUGAACAUGAUCAUAGUCAUUAAUAAAAACAUUGAGCAAUAUUUGCUUCUAUGUCUUUGGAACUGGCAUUUGCAAAGGUAGCAUUGACAGAUCAGAGAACAGAAAGGAAUUCUGCGGUUACUCGUGGAGGAAUUUGGACCUGUGAGAUAUUCAUGAUGUUAAUUAUUUAUAAUUUCAGUUGUUUUAGGCCAGGCUUUGAGCUUCAAGAUAAUGUGCUCAGAAUUGGCAACAAAAAUGGUCAUUUUUUUGCUAGUAAUUACUGGCUUUGAGCUUCAGCUAUUUUAGAAGGACACAGAGAGAUCUUUAGAUCAUGUAUUCCUGACUUAAGCAAGGAAGGAAAGAAGGAAGGAAGGAAGGAAGGAAGCAAGGAAGGAAGGAAAGAAGGGAGGGAGGGAGGGAGAGAAAGGAAGGGAGGGAGGGGAGGAGGAGGAAUAGGAAGAAGAAAAGAAAGGAAAGAAGGAAGGAAG
rnacentral:lncRNA from 10 species